CGAAACCAUAGUAACUUCCUGGCUCGAAUCCUAACAUCUCGCCAAUACCACUUUUUGAAAACUCGACGUAGAGAGCCCCGUGUGUUACAAUGCUAACUCUACCGUUUCGCGUAAGUGUAAAUGAUGCUUUAUCCUUUAGCCCCGCUUUAGAUAUUUGACCAUUUACGACAUCUAUCAGAGAUCCGAUCUUCUUGUAUCUACCUUUUUUUAUUUUGAUCACCGCAACAUUUGUAGCAUUUAUUUCUUCUUUCGGAUAUCUUACACUGAAAUCACCCCAACCUAGCAGUAGAACUAUGGAGGGAGUAGUGACGGUAAAUUCUUUCUUAACGCUUAUCCGUGUUCUCUCUUCUUCAGGUAAAUCUAAAUAUUCACCUAUUUUUUGUAAAUAUAUAGAAUAACCGGGGUUUAUGGUAAUUACCAUUUUCAGUUUAUCCGAAUCGGGGAAAAACAUUAACAAUUAGGCCAAUAUGGUCCUUUACAAUAUCUUUCAAAGCGCUAUCGAUAAGUCUAAUAAGCCAAUUGAUAUCGUCAUAUUUUACAUUUGUCUGCACACGGAUAAUCUGCUCUCGACAGUCAAUAGUCUCGAUUUCUUCGAAAAACGCAAAACGCCGCCAAGUCGAGCAGGCACGGCCGUACCAUCCUUUUCUGGAAGCAACUCAGGGUACUUUUCACACCUUC
rnacentral:lncRNA from 1 species